GCAGUCGAACGAGUUCUGAUUAUUGAAAGGUGCUUGCAUCUUGAUUUAAUUUUGAACGAGUGGCGGACGGGUGAGUAACACGUGGGUAACCUGCCCUUAAGUGGGGGAUAACAUUUGGAAACAGAUGCUAAUACCGCAUAAAUCCAAGAACCGCAUGGUUCUUGGCUGAAAGAUGGCGUAAGCUAUCGCUUUUGGAUGGACCCGCGGCGUAUUAGCUAGUUGGUGAGGUAACGGCUCACCAAGGCAAUGAUACGUAGCCGAACUGAGAGGUUGAUCGGCCACAUUGGGACUGAGACACGGCCCAAACUCCUACGGGAGGCAGCAGUAGGGAAUCUUCCACAAUGGACGCAAGUCUGAUGGAGCAACGCCGCGUGAGUGAAGAAGGCUUUCGGGUCGUAAAACUCUGUUGUUGGAGAAGAAUGGUCGGCAGAGUAACUGUUGUCGGCGUGACGGUAUCCAACCAGAAAGCCACGGCUAACUACGUGCCAGCAGCCGCGGUAAUACGUAGGUGGCAAGCGUUAUCCGGAUUUAUUGGGCGUAAAGCGAGCGCAGGCGGUUUUUUAAGUCUGAUGUGAAAGCCCUCGGCUUAACCGAGGAAGUGCAUCGGAAACUGGGA
rnacentral:rRNA from 2 species